CAGCCACCUUUCAGUGUGGCUGUGUCAGUAUCGGAAUGAAAUGAACAUGACCCCCUCCAGCAGGGAAGGAACACACAGUAAAGCUCCAGGUAAGAGUCCAGGUUACUUACCAGGUGUGGCUGAGUUGGAGGACACAGGUGAAAAGAAAGAUGCACACAGAAGGCUUCAUAAGCAACAUAAUCCUCUGGAGUAACAAGGAUAGAAAAUUCUAAAAACUUGGGAGACAGUCCUUCAGCCAAUCAGAACUCAAGUGCCAGAGAAAGAUUGAGUCGAUCAAAAGAACACUCCAGGAUCCUCCCAGACAAAUGCAGAAGAAGGGGACGAGGAAAAGGGGACAAAGAGAGGAACACGGAGAAAGAGGACAAAGAAAGGGGGGGGGGAGGAAAGGGACAUAGCAAAUCCCCUCCACAUAAUCACUGCAAGGAGUCUCUCUCCUCCCUCCUGCCUCUGCCCUCCCACCCCACCCCAACCUCCCCUACCCACGCACAUUCACUGCAGACACAGACACACAGAGA